GGCUGAUGAGGCAGGUUGCUGGGACCUGGUGCGAGGCAGCUGGAGCAUGGUGGAUGAGUGAAUGGACUGAUGUCAGCUUGGAUCUCGUUUCAUCAGCCCCGAAUGGCCCGGGAGAGCGGAGCAUCUGCAGAUCAGGUCACCGGAUAUUAGCCUGCAGCUAAGGCCCGACCGUUGAAACGCACAGCACAGCACAGCACGUCUUCCCCCUGCGCUGGGGGAUGCCCAGCCUGCCAUCCCACCCGUGGCUUCGGGGCGACAUGCACGGCUGCCAUGUUAUCGCCCACUCGCCAGCACCUUUCCUGCCUUGCUUGGAUCUAUUGAUUUCCUUUUGCUCUCCGUGCUCCCUGCCCAGAUCCACUCGGUACCUGCCUUUCAUCCGGGCCCUUGGCCAGAAAGAAAUGGAUUGGGACUAUCGCUGGUGAAGGGGUUAACUCGCCUUUCUUCUAACACCGAGACCAAAGGUUCCCUCCCCACACAUGCCCCUGUCAUCCAUUCCACCUCCCUGGGUUUGCAGAGCCCAGGUCCCUGGGGCUGGUCAGUUGUGCUCUGUCACCAUCUCCUCUCGCUCUCUCUGCUCCCUGUCUGUCUCGCCUGUAAUGGGAAAAGCACAGAAAUGAGGUAAUUUACAAGGUAAUUUAUGAGUCAAUGGGCUCAUCUGCUGCCUAUAAUCCUAGCUGGCAAUUGUGUGGAGUUUAUUUUCUCAGAUGCAAGCUUAAAAAAAGAGAAAGAUGAAGCGCACGCACAGGAUCUCAACAGUGUGGGCUGCUGGCGUUAAUGUUAUGGUACCCGGGAGAGGCCCUGUUGUGCCAGGCGCUGCACAGCGAGAGACAGUCCCUGCCUCAGAGAGAAUGCAGGUUCAAUAGACAAUGCAAAGCAAGGGUGGGAGGGGAAGUGACCUCCCUAACGUCACCCCCCAGGUUAGGGCUAGGACUAGCUUCUGAGUCUCCUGAAUCCCCACCCAGUGCACCACCCUCUAGCCCACGCUGCCUCAGGCUCUGCUAAGCUCUUUGCUUAGUGACUGUCUCCUGUUACAGAUUUGAUCAUGGCCCUUCAUUUAAAACAGCUGUGACAACAAUUACGCUUCUUUGUAGCAGCCCCCACCUAAAACUAAGGCCCGUGUGAGUCAGCCCGAGAAUUGGCACUAGAGGGGUAGAGGGCUUGGCUGGGUAUUGGUCUGGGUAAACGGGUGUGCGUAGGGGCUGCACACCCAGGAAGCGACUCAGCAGACGCACUGGAGGCAGGGACAGACGCAGGGGAGAAGCAGACAGACCCAGAGAAGGAAGGUGCACGGUGUGCUGGCGGGAAGAGGCUUUUUGGGCUGUGAGCACAGAAACCAUCUCCCGUUGUUUGGUCCCGUUCCCCCCCCCCCCCCCCCCGUGUUCAGGGAAACAGGACUUGGCACAGGCUUGGGAGAUAAACAGGUUUGCCUCAAAGGCACCUGACUCCAGCCUCGAUUUCUCCCACCCGGAACCACUCACAGGAUCCUGGAUUUUUGUCUAGCUGCUCAGGCCAAAGGGGGUAACAAUCCACACGUAUCCAUAACACCGUCAAACAGGCAGCCCCGGGCGGCCCCAUUCACCCAACCUAGGAAGAAUCAUAGGGCUCCUUUCCUGAAGGGCUUUGUGAGUGUUAAACGCACCCGCCACACCCUCCUCACCCGCGGUCCUCUGGCUGCCUUGAGGGUCAGGCGCUGGCAUUGGCCUCGGGGGCUCUGGGUGCAGUUCCCGGUUCUGCCACGCACCCCCUUGGGUGACCUUUGC